CCCAAAUUGUCUUUGAGUACAAGAUUCAUAUUGGAUUAUUUAAUUGUAAACUGGCCCAAUAAUAAGAUUAAUUCUAAUAUGGGUAUUGGGAAUGUAUUAUUGGACGUAUACAGUCUUUUGUAACUUUAUAUGACUGUGUCUUUUGUAACUGUACCAAAUUACCUUUAUAUAUCAUGUUCAAAAUAUAUAUUGUUCACUGUGGUUAAUCUGUUGUGUGACUGGGUUUGUCAGCUAAAUAUGUGUGUGUGUA